rnacentral:lncRNA from 1 species
CCGGAGCAGGUUCUCUUCAAGUUGGUAGAGUGGUUCCUUUCAUUCUAUUUCUGUACUUGUUAUUGUAAUCUGUUAAAUCCUUUUUAGUGGAACUGUUAAUCACUCUUUGUAGUGAUUAACGACUAGACGUAGAUUCGUUUGAAUCGAUCCAGUAUAAAAAUCCUUUUGUGCUUUUCUUAUGCCCUAUACUCAUUUUACUUUUACGCACAUCAACUGCUUGGUUAAUUUUUUGAAAGAAAAUUUUUCUUUAUAAAAAAGGCUAAAAUCAUUUCAACUGUGACCUAAUACGCUUUACGCUCUCUGUGUUAUUAAUCCGCUGCGCUAAACUCUUUUAAAAAAUUACCCCCU